GUCCUAGCCGUAACGGUGUGCACUUGAUGUAGGAGGAAUUAUCCCUUCUGUGUCGUAGCUAACGCGAUAAGUGCACCGCCUGGGAGUACGGUCGCAAGAUUAAACUCAAAGGAAUUGACGGGCCCGCACAAGCGGUGGAGCAUGUGGCUUAAUUCGAUGCAACGCGAAGAACCUUACCUGGACUUGACAUGUAACUGCACGCUGGGCGAAAGCCCGGAAGCCUUCGAGGGUGUUACACAGGUGCUGCAUGGCUGUCGU
rnacentral:rRNA from 1 species